UACGUAGGGGGCAAGCGUUGUCCGGAUUUAUUGGGCGUAAAAGGCUUGUAGGUGGCCACGCCAAGUCGGAUGUGAAAUCUCCCGGCUCAACUGGGAGGGGUCAUUCGAUACUGGCGGGCUCGAGGCCGGUAGGGGGAAGUGGAAUUCCCGGUGUAGUGGUGGAAUGCGUGAGAUAGUCGGAGGAACACCAGUGGCGAAGGCGGCUUCCUGGACCGGUUCUGACACUGAGGAGCGAAAGCGUGGGGAGCGAUCCGG
rnacentral:rRNA from 1 species